UAGGGAAUCUUCCACAAUGGACGCAAGUCUGAUGGAGCAACGCCGCGUGAGUGAAGAAGGGUUUCGGCUCGUAAAGCUCUGUUGUUAAAGAAGAAUGUGGGUAAGAGUAACUGUUUACCCAGUGACGGUAUUUAACCAGAAAGCCACGGCUAACUACGUGCCAG
rnacentral:rRNA from 1 species